CCCUUAGAUGUUCUGGGCCGCACGCGCGCUACACUGACGAAUGCAACGAGCUUAUAACCUUGGCCGAAAGGUCUGGGUAAUCUCCAAAUUUCGUCGUGAUGGGGAUAGAUUAUUGCAAUUAUUAAUCUUCAACGAGGAAUGCCUAGUAAGCGCAAGUCAUCAGCUUGCGUUGAUUACGUCCCUGCCCUUUGUACACACCGCCCGUCGUUCCUACCGAUUGAAUGGUCCGGUGAAGCGUUCGGACCGUGGCCUUUGGACGGUUCGCCGUCUGUUGGCUGCGGGAAGUUCGUUAAACCUUAUCAUUUAGAGGAAGGAGAAGUCGUANCA
rnacentral:rRNA from 1 species